CACCGAAGUCAAGCAUCAUUGGGCGCGGUCAGUACUUGGGUGGGUGACCACCUGGGAACACCACGUGCCGUU